UACUGUAGAUACUAGGUUUCCGACUUUGU
rnacentral:sRNA from 1 species